rnacentral:rRNA from 1 species
CUGGGGAUCUGCCCGAUAGAGGGGGAUAACCACUGGAAACGGUGGCUAAUACCGCAUAACGUCGCAAGACCAAAGAGGGGGACCUUCGGGCCUCUCACUAUCGGAUGAACCCAGAUGGGAUUAGCUAGUAGGCGGGGUAACGGCCCACCUAGGCGACGAUCCCUAGCUGGUCUGAGAGGAUGACCAGCCACACUGGAACUGAGACACGGUCCAGACUCCUACGGGAGGCAGCAGUGGGGAAUAUUGCACAAUGGGCGCAAGCCUGAUGCAGCCAUGCCGCGUGUAUGAAGAAGGCCUUCGGGUUGUAAAGUACUUUCAGCGGGGAGGAAGGCAGUGAGGUUAAUAACCUUACUGAUUGACGUUACCCGCAGAAGAAGCACCGGCUAACUCCGUGCCAGCAGCCGCGGUAAUACGGAGGGUGCAAGCGUUAAUCGGAAUUACUGGGCGUAAAGCGCACGCAGGCGGUCUGUUAAGUCAGAUGUGAAAUCCCCGGGCUUAACCUGGGAACUGCAUUUGAAACUGGCAGGCUUGAGUCUCGUAGAGGGGGGUAGAAUUCCAGGUGUAGCGGUGAAAUGCGUAGAGAUCUGGAGGAAUACCGGUGGCGAAGGCGGC